CGCGCAGGUGGGAUCUUAAGUCCAUUUUUAAAGUUCGGAGCUCAACUCCGUGAUGGGAUGGAAACUGGGAUUCUUGAGUACCGGAGAGGAAAGCGGAAUUCCCCGUGUAGCGGUGAAAUGCGUAGAUAUGGGGAGGAACACCAGUGGCGAAGGCGGCUUUCUGGACGGUGUCUGACGCUGAGGCGCGAAAGCCAGGGGAGCGAAC
rnacentral:rRNA from 1 species